rnacentral:snRNA from 1 species
AUACCUACCUGACAGGGGAGACACCAUGAUCAUGAAGGUGGUUUUCCCAGGGCGAGGCUUAUCCAUUGCACUCCGGAUGUGCUGACCCCAGCGAUUUCCCCAAAUGUGGGAAACUUGACUGCAUAAUUUGUGGUAGUGGGGGACUGCAUUUGCACUCUCCCC